CUACGGGGGGCUCCAGUGAGGAAUAUUGCACAAUGGGGGGAACCCUGAUGCAGCAACGCCGCGUGGAGGAUGACGCAUUUCGGUGUGUAAACUCCUUUUAUAUGUCAAGAAAAUGACGGUAGCAUAUGAAUAAGCACCGGCUAGACUCCGUGCCAGCAGCCGCGGUAAUACGGAGGGUGCAAGCGUUACUCGGAAUCACUGGGCGUAAAGGACGCGUAGGCGGGUUGGAAAGUCAGGUGUGAAAUCCUACAGCUUAACUGUAGAACUGCACUUGAAACUUCUAAUCUAGAGUAUGGGAGGGGGAGAUGGAAUUAGUGGUGUAGGGGUAAAAUCCGUAGAUAUCACUAGGAAUACCUAAAGCGAAGGCGAUCUCCUGGAACAUUACUGACGCUAAGGCGUGAAAGCGUGGGGAGCAAACAGGAUUAGAUACCCGUGUAGUC
rnacentral:rRNA from 1 species